rnacentral:rRNA from 1 species
UGGNGAGUACGACCGCAAGGUUGAAACUCAAAGGAAUUGACGGGGGCCCGCACAAGCGGUGGAGCAUGUGGUUUANUUNGAAGCAACGCGAAGAACCUUACCAGGUCUUGACAUCCCGAUGCCCGCUCUAGAGAUAGAGUUUUACUUUUUGUACAUCGGAGACAGGUGGUGCAUGGUUGUCGUCAGCUCGUGUCGUGAGAUGUUGGGUUAAGUCCCGCAACGAGCGCAACCCUUAUUGUUAGUUGCCAUCAUUAAGUUGGGCACUCUAGCGAGACUGCCGGUAAUAAACCGGAGGAAGGUGGGGAUGAUGUCAAAUCAUCAUGCCCCUUAUGACCUGGGCUACACACGUGCUACAAUGGUUGGUACAACGAGUCGCAAGCCGGUGACGGCAAGCUAAUNU